UUUGGCAUGACUCGUCGCAUUCUGUUGUGCAGAACAUGUAUGCCCAGCUGCUUCCUCUCGCUUUGCCCGCUCCGCCGAUGCCAGGCAUGGGCGGUCCUCCACCUCCGAUGGGUGGAAUGGGCAUGCCUCCGAUGGGUGGAAUGGGCAUGCCUCCGAUGGGCCCUGGUCCGAUGCCAGCAUUUGGGAUGCCACCAAUGGGAAGCUACUAGGUUGAUUUUGCAGAGCGCUUAGAUGAUGAUUCGGAUUUUUCCAGUGUAAGCACAAGUUGAACUAUGGGGUUGUAGAUGAUCACAGUU
rnacentral:lncRNA from 1 species